rnacentral:rRNA from 1 species
UACAGAAGCCCCAAGCGUUACCCGGAAUCACUGGGCGUAAAGGGUGCGCAGGCGGCCAUAUUAGUCUCUUGUUAAAUCCAGAAGCUUAACUUCUGGUCUGCGGGGGAAACGGUAUGGCUAGAGGAUAUGAGAGGUUGAGGGAACUCACGGUGUAGGGGUGAAAUCCGUUGAUAUCGUGGGGAACACCAAAGGCGAAGGCACUCAACUGGCAUAUUCCUGACGCUCAUGCACGAAAGCCAGGGUAGCGAACGGG